GACGAACGCUGGCGGCGUGCCUAAUACAUGCAAGUCGAGCGGAAUGAUGAAGAAGCUUGCUUCUUCUGAUUUUAGCGGCGGACCGGGUGAGUAACACGUGGGCAACCUACCUUGUAGAUUGGGAUAACUCCGGGAAACCGGGGCUAAUACCGAAUAAUCCAGUUUUGCUUCAUGGCGAGAUGUUGAAAGACGGUUUCGGCUGUCACUACAAGAUGGGCCCGCGGCGCAUUAGCUAGUUGGUAGGGUAAUGGCCUACCAAGGCGACGAUGCGUAGCCGGCCUGAGAGGGUGAUCGGCCACACUGGGACUGAGACACGGCCCAGACUCCUACGGGAGGCAGCAGUAGGGAAUCUUCCACAAUGGACGAAAGUCUGAUGGAGCAACGCCGCGUGAGUGAAGAAGGUUUUCGGAUCGUAAAACUCUGUUGUAAGGGAAGAACACGUACGAGAGUAACUGCUCGUACCUUGACGGUACCUUAUUAGAAAGCCACGGCUAACUACGUG
rnacentral:rRNA from 1 species